rnacentral:rRNA from 1 species
GACGAACGCUGGCGGCGUGCUUAACACAUGCAAGUCGAGCGGAGCGGCGAACGGGUGAUUAACGCGUGAGUAACUGCCCCCCUCUCUGGGAUAACAGUUGGAAACGGCUGCUAAUACCGGAUAGUGGGGGAUGACUCGCGUCCUAUCAGAUUGCUGGUGGGGUAGUGGCCUACCAAGGCGAUGACGGGUAGCCGGCCUGAGAGGGCGACCGGCAACAUUGGGCUGAGAUACGGCCCAAACUCAUACGGAAGGAAGCAUAGGGGAAGAUUGGAAAAUGGGCGCAAGCCGAAUGCAGCAAUGCGCGGGUAUAAAGAAGGCCUUAGGGUUGUAAAGUACUUUCAGCAGGGAGGGGUUAAUACCCUUAUCAAUUGACGUUACCCGCAGAAGAAGCACCGGCUAACUCCGUGCCAGCAGCCGCGGUAAUAC